GCUCUUCUCACCCGAGCUCAUUCCCCUAACCUCCCACCGCAGCCGCCCGAGCGCCUGCCCCUACCUCUCCCGCCAACGAACGUUCUAGUUCCGACCCGUCCGGCCUUAACUAGAUUUUUUUGUCCUAGCACCGUCUAACAAUAGCGAUCGUUCCUGAGUGACUAGAGACUACACCGAGAGUUACCACUACGCUACGUUUUACCUGUUUAGGUAGUAGCAAUCAGACGACGACAACCGAAGAAGACUCGAUGAUUAUAGUCCAACAAAACAAAGACAACUCGUCAAAUUCGAAGUUCCAACGUUGACUUUACACUAGUUAACACCAACAAGAGUUGAAGAGUAAGUCGAGUAGGACUAUUACACCGAUCUCUUGACAUAUAGUCAAAUAAUUCAACCGAAGGAUAGGCAAUACAUCAAAUACACACUUAGGACGUUCAGCAGUACAAGUUAACACCAACAGUACAGCUUAAGCAGGACUAGUAUGACUCGCGUUUGACAUCCCAAUCGACACAAACUACAACUUAGCGACUACUAGUGUAACAGCCUUUUAAUAAGGACCAAAGGAAAGAUAAUCAGUCAAAAUUCACGCUCACCAUGUUCAGUAUAAUAAACUAACAACAAGAGAAUAGCUUAGGCAGGGUUCGUAUAAUAGGUGUUUGGUAUAAAGACAAGUUAUACAGUUUGAAUAAAGCCACUGAUAAAACAAUUACAAGUUUAGUCGAUGUAAUUUUAAUUUAGUAUACCCUUAGUCUCGCUAAAUGUUCCUGGGAAACCCCUCUAUGAAACGUUUACACCUUGUCCUUAUUUCGUACAAUCAAUGUACCGCCUCUACCCUAUGAAUCAACUAGACUUGGUAAAACGUCAAGUGAAAAUUAGACUUUUAACAUGGACUAUGAUUAGUACUGAAGAAAUCCAAGACUCCCGAAUCUAACUUUUGUGGUACUGUUAAAAAACAUAGCGUCACCCCAACCGACGACAUAAUACCUUCUAAACCUCUAAAUACUUACUCCGGACAAAACUCUUAUUUUCGCCACAGACUAUGAAAACAAGACUAAGUACACCAAACAAUAAACCAAUUUGAGUACCAGUUAAAACGUCUAAUCGCGACUAAACCCCUCAUUUCGAGAAGCUCGUUCACUGUUUUUAGUUCAGAAGACUCGUAGAGUUUCUACCGCUGGACUUCAGCAAACUGACCGUCGAAUUUUCGUUAAUUUCACGUGUCUCUUUAGUUUGAAAAUUUCGGUGAGAACGGUAAACACCUGACAAGGACGAACAACCACUGACGAAAACGCUCAUACAAGUGAGAGUAGAUGAGGGAAGCAAGGUUUUAUCUACUCAGAUGAAACAUAAUUGAAAUCAUGUUUCAAUGUUUCAACUC
rnacentral:rRNA from 1 species